GGAGAGGUGGCUGAGUGGUCGAAAGCGAACGACUCGAAAUCGUUAGACGGGUAAAGCUCGUCCGUGGGUUCGAAUCCCACCCUCUCCG
rnacentral:tRNA from 1 species